CGCGCCCCGCGCCCGUACCGCCGCCUCCGACCGCUUACGGGAGGCAGCAGUGGGGAAUAUUGCCCAAUGGGCGCAAGCCUGAUCCAUCCAUGCCGCGUGAGUCAUGAAGGCCCUAGGGUUGUAAAGCUCUUUCACCGGUGAAGAUAAUGACGGUAACCGGAGAAGAAGCCCCGUCCUAAUUUCUGUGCCAGCAGCCGCGGUAAUACGAAGGGGGCUAGCGUUGUUCGGAUUUACUGGGCGUAAAGCGCACGUAGGCGGACUUUUAAGUCAGGGGUGAAAUCCCGGGGCUCAACUCCGGAUCUGCCUUUGAUACUGGAAGUCUUGAGUAUGGUAGAGGUGAGUGAAAUUCCGAGUGUAGAGGUGAAAUUCGUAGAUAUUCGAAGGACCCCCAGUGGCGAAGGCGGCUCCCUGGCCCAUUACUGCCGCUGAGGUGCGCAAAGCGUGGGAGCACGCAGAACAGCGAUUAGAUACCCUGGUAGUCCACGCCGUAAACGAUG
rnacentral:rRNA from 1 species